UUAUUGAGGUAUCAUCUUCAGUUGUUGUGGUAUCAUCUUCUGUUGUUGUGGUAUCAUCUUCAGUUGUUGUGGUAUCAUCUUCAGUUGUUGUAGGGAUUGUUGUGGUAUCUGCUGGUGGAACUGAAGAGUUGCCAUUUAAACAAUCCUGCAUGUCUGCAGAAGCUUGACUGCUGUCCUGAACGUAAAUACGU